rnacentral:snoRNA from 1 species
AGGCCGUGAUGGGGACACUUGCCUAAUAGCUCCUUGAACCUUUCCCAAGUUUCAUAUAAGGAUUCCCCGUCCUCUUGUGAGUAUGUAUUAAUUUCAGCCAUUAAUUU